rnacentral:rRNA from 1 species
UACGAAGGGGGCUAGCGUUGCUCGGAAUGACUGGGCGUAAAGGGCGCGUAGGCGGAUCGCGCAGUCGGGGGUGAAAGCCCCGGGCUCAACCCGGGGCGGUCGCCCGAGACGGGGGGUCUGGAGUGGGGGAGAGGGGCGCGGAAUUCCCAGUGUAGAGGUGAAAUUCGUAGAUAUUGGGAAGAACACCGGUGGCGAAGGCGGCGAACUGGCCCUUGACUGACGCUGAGGCGCGACAGCGUGGGGAGCAAACAGG